rnacentral:tRNA from 1 species
GCUAACGUAGCUUAAUUCAUUAAAGCAAAGCGCUGAAAAUGCUUAGAUGGCCUUCCAGGCCCAUUAGCA